UACGUAGGUGGCAAGCGUUGUCCGGAAUUAUUGGGCGUAAAGCGCGCGCAGGCGGUUCUUCAAGUCGCGUGUGAAAGCCCCCGGCUCAACUGGGGAGGGUCACGCGAUACUGAUCGACUCGAAGGCAGGAGAGGGAAGUGGAAUUCCCGGUGUAGUGGUGAAAUGCGUAGAUAUCGGGAGGAACACCAGUGGCGAAGGCGACUUCCUGGCCUGUUCUUGACGCUGAGGAGCGAAAGCGUGGGGAGCGAACAGG
rnacentral:rRNA from 1 species